rnacentral:sRNA from 1 species
UGUACCGGGCAGAUCGGGAUACUCAUCAAAUAAUAUCGAAAACCGAGAUUAGCUCUUCUGUCAAUGGCGGGCCAUAUAAAGUCAUAAAGACCUAAGCUGUAAAGCCGGUGGAUUACAAAGACGUGGAGCCCUCAAAUCUUUACAUAAGGAGUUUUCAUCACAUCGCGGG